AUGAACGCUGGCGGCGUGCCUAAUCCAUGCAAGUCGAGCGAACGGACGAGAAGCUUGCUUCUCUGAUGUUAGCGGCGGACGGGUGAGUAACACGUGGAUAACCUACCUAUAAGACUGGGAUAACUUCGGGAAACCGGAGCUAAUACCGGAUAAUAUUUUGAACCGCAUGGUUCAAAAGUGAAAGACGGUCUUGCUGUCACUUAUAGAUGGAUCCGCGCUGCAUUAGCUAGUUGGUAAGGUAACGGCUUACCAAGGCAACGAUGCAUAGCCGACCUGAGAGGGUGAUCAGCCACACUGGAACUGAGACACGGUCCAGACUCCUACGGGAGGCAGCAGUAGGGAAUCUUCCGCAAUGGGCGAAAGCCUGACGGAGCAACGCCGCGUGAGUGAUGAAGGUCUUCGGAUCGUAAAACUCUGUUAUUAGGGAAGAACAUAUGUGUAAGUAACUGUGCACAUCUUGACGGUACCUAAUCAGAAAGCCACGGCUAACUACGUG
rnacentral:rRNA from 1 species